rnacentral:rRNA from 1 species
UACAGAGGGUGCGAGCGUUAAUCGGAAUUACUGGGCGUAAAGCGUGCGUAGACGGUUAUUUAAGUCGGGUGUGAAAGCCCCGGGCUCAACCUGGGAAUUGCAUUCGAGACUGAAUAGCUAGGGUACGGUAGAGGGAAGUGGAAUUUCCGGUGUAACGGUGAAAUGCGUAGAUAUCGGAAGGAACAUCAGUGGCGAAAGCGACUUCCUGGACCAGUACCGACGUUCAGGCACGAAAGCGUGGGGAGCAAACAGG